rnacentral:rRNA from 1 species
AGAGCGAACGCUGGCGGCAGGCCUAACACAUGCAAGUCGAGCGCCCGUAGCAAUACGGGAGCGGCAGACGGGAUAGUAACACGUGGGAACGCGCCCUUCGGUUCGGAAUAACUCAGGGAAACUUGAGCUAAUACCGAAUACGCCCUUACGGGGAAAGAUUUAUUGCCGAAGGAACGGCCCGCGUCCGAUUAGCUAGUUGGUGAGGUAAUGGCUCACCAAGGCUACGAUCGGUAGCUGGUCUGAGAGGAUGACCAGCAUCACUGGGACUGAGACACGGCCCAGACUCCUACGGGAGGCAGCAGUGGGGAAUAUUGGACAAUGGGCGAAAGCCUGAUCCAGCCAUGCCGCGUGGAUGAUGAAGGCCUUAGGGUUGUAAAGUCCUUUUAACGGGGAGAUAAUGACGGUACCGUAGAAUAAGCCCCGGCUAACUUCGUGCCAGCAGCCGC